AUUGAACGCUGGCGGCAGGCCUAACACAUGCAAGUCGAGCGGAUGAAGGGAGCUUGCUCCUGGACUCAGCGGCGGACGGGUGAGUAAUGCCUAGGAAUCUGCCUGGUAGUGGGGGAUAACGUCCGGAAACGGGCGCUAAUACCGCAUACGUCCUGAGGGAGAAAGUGGGGGAUCUUCGGACCUCACGCUAUCAGAUGAGCCUAGGUCGGAUUAGCUAGUUGGUGGGGUAAAGGCCUACCAAGGCGACGAUCCGUAACUGGUCUGAGAGGAUGAUCAGUCACACUGGAACUGAGACACGGUCCAGACUCCUACGGGAGGCAGCAGUGGGGAAUAUUGGACAAUGGGCGAAAGCCUGAUCCAGCCAUGCCGCGUGUGUGAAGAAGGUCUUCGGAUUGUAAAGCACUUUAAGCUGGGAGGAAGGGCAGUAAGUUAAUACCUUGCUGUUUUGACGUUACCAACAGAAUAAGCACCGGCUAACUUCGUG
rnacentral:rRNA from 1 species